rnacentral:rRNA from 1 species
GAUGAACGCUGGCGGCGUGCCUAACACAUGCAAGUCGAGCGAAGCGAUUUAGCGGAAGUUUUCGGAUGGAAGUUAAAUUGACUGAGCGGGCGACGGGUGAGUACGCGUGGUAACCUGCCUCAUACAGGGGGAUAACAGUUAGAAAUGACUGCUAAUACCGCAUAAGCGCACAGCAUUGCAUGAUGCAGUGUGAAAAACUCCGGUGGUAUGAGAUGGACCCGCGUCUGAUUAGCUAGUUGGUGAGGUAAAGGCCCACCAAGGCGACGAUGCAUAGCCGAGUUGAGAGACUGAUCGGCCACAUUGGGACUGAGACACGGCCCAA